UGCCAGACUCCUACGGGAGGCAGCAGUGAGGAAUAUUGGUCAAUGGCCGAGAGGCUGAACCAGCCAAGUCGCGUGAGGGAAGAAUGUCCUAUGGAUUGUAAACCUCUUUUGUCAGGGAGCAAAGUCACCCACGUGUGGGUGUUGGAGAGUACCUGAAGAAAAAGCAUCGGCUAACUCCGUGCCAGCAGCCGCGGUAAUACGGAGGAUGCGAGCGUUAUCCGGAUUUAUUGGGUUUAAAGGGUGCGUAGGCGGAUUUUUAAGUCAGCGGUAAAAUGUCCGGGCUCAACCCGGGCCGGCCGUCGGAACUGCCGGGCUAGAGUGGGCGAGAAGUGCGCGGAAUGCGUGGUGUAGCGGUGAAAUGCAUAGAUAUCACGCAGAACUCCGAUUGCGAAGGCAGCGCACCGGCGCCCUACUGACGCUCAGGCACGAAAGCGUGGGUAUCGAACAGGAUUAGAUACCCCCGUAUA
rnacentral:rRNA from 1 species